rnacentral:lncRNA from 1 species
GAACGAAGAAGAAAGGAAGAAUGGAAAUGGAAGAAGAGGAGGAGCCAAGCCACAAUAUUUAGUGUUGUAUAAUUUCAUGGUAUGAUGGACGCAGCUGAGGUGGGCCUCCGCUGUGGCCAGGCAGUUCAGCCUUGCCGUCAACCCUCUAUGUGAUGAGUGAGUUGCCGGUUGAGCUGGAGUGUCCUGGUAUUGGAGGCUCGUCAGGUACUGUAGACAACCAUCUGUGUAACCUUUUCGUGAAGAGGUCCGGUGUGACCCGUCAGGUUCCUGGUGGUGUCCGGCACAGCGUUGAAGAGGUCCGCAGAAAACGACACGCCAAUUUAUUUGAAGUCAAGGACGGAGAUUAAAACGGCCUUGAAAACACCACACCG